rnacentral:rRNA from 1 species
GACGAACGCUGGCGGCGUGCUUAACACAUGCAAGUCGAGCGGUAAGGCCCUUUCGGGGGUACACGAGCGGCGAACGGGUGAGUAACACGUGGGUGACCUGCCCUCAGCUCUGGGAUAAGCCUGGGAAACCGGGUCUAAUACUGGAUAUGACUCCAUGACGCAUGUUGUGGGGUGGAAAGCCUUGUGCGGCUGAGGAUGGGCCCGCGGCCUAUCAGCUUGUUGGUGGGGUNAGGCCUACCAAGGCGACGACGGGUAGCCGGCCUGAGAGGGCGACCGGCCACACUGGGACUGAGACACGGCCCAGACUCCUACGGGAGGCAGCAGUGGGGAAUCUUGCGCAAUGGGCGAAAGCCUGACGCAGCGACGCCGCGUGAGGGAUGACGGCCUGGUGUAACU